rnacentral:rRNA from 1 species
GUUUGACCUCGGAUCAGGUAGGGAUACCCGCUGAACUUAAGCAUAUCAAUAAGCGGAGGAAAAGAAACCAACAGGGAUUGCCUCAGUAACGGCGAGUGAAGCGGCAACAGCUCAAAUUUGAAAUCUGACCCCUGCGGGGCCCGAGUUGUAAUUUGUAGAGGGUGUUUCGGGCGCGGCGCCGGUCUAAGUUCCUUGGAACAGGACGUCGCAGAGGGUGAGAAUCCCGUAUGUGACCGGUGAUCAAGCCCAUGUGAAGCCCCUUCGACGAGUCGAGUUGUUUGGGAAUGCAGCUCAAAAUGGGUGGUAAAUUCCAUCUAAAGCUAAAUAUUGGCCGGAGACCGAUAGCGGACAAGUAGAGUGAUCGAAAGAUGAAAAGCACUUUGGAAAGAGAGUUAAACAGUACGUGAAAUUGUUGAAAGGGAAGCGCUUGCAAUCAGACCGGUCCGGGGGUGAUCAGCCGCUGCUCGUCAGCUGGUGCACUCGCCCCCGAUCCGGCCAGCAUCGGUUUGGGCGGUGGGAUAAAAGCCCCGGGAAUGUAGCUUCUUUCGGGGAGUCUUAUAGCCCGGGGUGCAAUGCUGCCCGCCUGGACCGAGGACCGCGCUUCGGCUAGGAUGCUGGCGUAAUGGUUGCAAGCGACCCGUCUUGAAACACGGACCAAGGAGUCUAACAUCUAUGCGAGUGUUUGGGUGUCAAACCCAGGCGCGGAAUGAAAGUGAACGGAGGUGGGAGCCUGUCAAACGGUGCACCAUCGACCGAUCCAGAUGUCUUCGGAUGGAUUUGAGUAUGAGCAUAGCUGUUGGGACCCGAAAGAUGGUGAACUAUGCCCGGAUAGGGUGAAGCCAGAGGAAACUCUGGUGGAGGCUCGCAGCGGUUCUGACGUGCAAAUCGAUCGUCAAAUCUAGGCAUAGGGGCGAAAGACCAAUCGAACC